UAUGUAUAUGGGAUGCAAUUUCACAAAUUCAUUUAGCCCCAAACCGCAGACGACGAACCCUAAAUCACAUCUUCUCCUUUGUCUCUCUCUCGAGAAAAUCUGAGAAAAUUCACCGGCUAUUAAUCUCUACGAUGCUUCACUUCACCUUCGCUAGUGUUCCUUAUUCUUACCUGGCUGAUUAUACCCAUCUUAUUUUUACUAUCUUGUGAAGGAAGAGCAGCUACUUAUGAAAGCCAAAAACAUGAUUAGGCAGAAAGAAGAAGAAGAAAGAAUGCAGAAGCGUCUGGAGUCAAUAUGGUUAUGCUGCAGAGGACGAGGAAACUGUUUCAUCUCAAGACUCAUGUGUUACAUCACACCCACAGGUAGACAUGAGAGCCAGGAUUCAAGUAAACAAAAGUUAAUAACAUAGGAGAUAAAUAUUGGGCACAGUGCACCUGCUUUUUCGAUAUCACAUUUUCAUUUUGGGAUUUUCGUUAAAAACUUAGUUAUUUUCCAUGUCAAUAUCAAGUUAUGCUUGUUACUAUACUCAAGAUUGAUUUUUUUUUCCCUGUUUAAAGUUGUAUUUUAUGGUACCGGAUUAAAUUGAAUGUCUUCAUGUAGUUUAAAGACAGAGUUACAACGAAAACGUUACUUCCAAA